AAUGAACGCUGGCGGCAGGCCUAACACAUGCAAGUCGAACGGAUCCUUCGGGAUUAGUGGCGGACGGGUGAGCAACGCGUGGGAACAUACCCUUUGGUACGGAAUAGCCUCGGGAAACUGGGAGUAAUACCGUAUGUGGUCGAGAGACGAAAGAUUUAUCGCCAAAGGAUUGGCCCGCGUUGGAUUAGGUAGUUGGUGGGGUAAUGGCCUACCAAGCCGACGAUCCAUAGCUGGGUUGGGAGGAUGAUCAGCCACACUGGGACUGAGACACGGCCCAGACUCCUACGGGAGGCAGCAGUGGGGAAUCUUAGACAAUGGGGGAAACCCUGAUCUAGCCAUGCCGCGUGAUCGAUGAAGGCCUUAGGGUUGUAAAGAUCUUUCAGGUGGGAAGAUAAUGACUGUAUCACCAGAAGAAGCCCCGGCUAACUCCGUGCCAGCCGCCGCCGUAA
rnacentral:rRNA from 1 species